rnacentral:rRNA from 1 species
UUAAGCGACUAAGCGUACACGGUGGAUGCCCUGGCAGUCAGAGGCGAUGAAGGACGUGCUAAUCUGCGAAAAGCGCCGGCGAGGUGAUAUGAACCUUUGACCCGGCGAUGUCCGAAUGGGGAAACCCAGUGCAAUCCGUUGCACUAUCGUUAACUGAAUACAUAGGUUAACGAGGCGAACCGGGGGAACUGAAACAUCUAAGUACCCCGAGGAAAAGAAAUCAACCGAGAUUCCCCCAGUAGCGGCGAGCGAACGGGGAGCAGCCCGGAGUCUGAAUCAGCUUGUGUGUUAGUGGAACGGUCUGGAAAGUCCGACGGUACAGGGUGAUAGUCCCGUACACGAAAGCACACAUGCUGUGAACUCGAAGAGUAGGGCGGGACACGUGGUAUCCUGUCUGAAUAUGGGGGGACCAUCCUCCAAGGCUAAAUACUCCUGACUGACCGAUAGUGAACCAGUACCGUGAGGGAAAGGCGAAAAGAACCCCGGCGAGGGGAGUGAAAAAGAACCUGAAACCGUGUACGUACAAGCAGUGGGAGCCUCUUUAUGGGGUGACUGCGUACCUUUUGUAUAAUGGGUCAGCGACUUAUAUUCUGUAGCAAGGUUAACCGUAUAGGGGAGCCGAAGGGAAACCGAGUCUUAACUGGGCGUUAAGUUGCAGGGUAUAGACCCGAAACCCGGUGAUCUAGCCAUGGGCAGGUUGAAGGUUGGGUAACACUAACUGGAGGACCGAACCGACUAAUGUUGAAAAAUUAGCGGAUGACCUGUGGCUGGGGGUGAAAGGCCAAUCAAACCGGGAGAUAGCUGGUUCUCCCCGAAAGCUAUUUAGGUAGCGCCUCGUGAACUCAUCUUCGGGGGUAGAGCACUGUUUCGGCUAGGGGGCCAUCCCGGCUUACCAACCCGAUGCAAACUACGAAUACCGAAGAAUGUUAUCACGGGAGACACACGGCGGGUGCUAACGUCCGUCGUGAAGAGGGAAACAACCCAGACCGCCAGCUAAGGUCCCAAAGUCAUGGUUAAGUGGGAAACGAUGUGGGAAGGCACAGACAGCCAGGAUGUUGGCUUAGAAGCAGCCAUCAUUUAAAGAAAGCGUAAUAGCUCACUGGUCGAGUCGGCCUGCGCGGAAGAUGUAACGGGGCUAAACCAUGCACCGAAGCUGCGGCAGCGACNUGCUGGAGGUAUCAGAAGUGCGAAUGCUGACAUAAGUAACGAUAAAGCGGGUGAAAAGCCCGCUCGCCGGAAGACCAAGGGUUCCUGUCCAACGUUAAUCGGGGCAGGGUGAGUCGACCCCUAAGGCGAGGCCGAAAGGCGUAGUCGAUGGGAAACAGGUUAAUAUUCCUGUACUUGGUGUUACUGCGAAGGGGGGACGGAGAAGGCUAUGUCAGCCGGGCGACGGUUGUCCCGGUUUAAGCAUGUAGGCGGAGGUUCCAGGUAAAUCCGGUACCUUAUUAACGCUGAGGUGUGAUGACGAGGCACUACGGUGCUGAAGUGAUAAAUGCCCUGCUUCCAGGAAAAGCCUCUAAGCAUCAGGUAACACGAAAUCGUACCCCAAACCGACACAGGUGGUCAGGUAGAGAAUACCAAGGCGCUUGAGAGAACUCGGGUGAAGGAACUAGGCAAAAUGGUGCCGUAACUUCGGGAGAAGGCACGCUGAUAUGUAGGUGAAGUCCCUGCGGACGGAGCUGAAAUCAGUCGAAGAUACCAGCUGGCUGCAACUGUUUAUUAAAAACACAGCACUGUGCAAACACGAAAGUGGACGUAUACGGUGUGACGCCUGCCCGGUGCCGGAAGGUUAAUUGAUGGGGUCAGCGGCAACGCGAAGCUCUUGAUCGAAGCCCCGGUAAACGGCGGCCGUAACUAUAACGGUCCUAAGGUAGCGAAAUUCCUUGUCGGG